GGGUCUUUUUAAAGUCUGGCAAUUGGAAUGAGAACAAUUUAAAUCCCUUAUCGAAGGAUCAAUUGGAGGGGCAAGUCUGGUUGCCAGCAGCCGCGGUAAUUCCAGCUCCAAUAGCGUAUACUAAAGUUGUUGCAAGUUAAAAAGCUCGUAGUUGAAUUUCUGAUAUAAUAGGAUGGGUUUUAUUUUCAUUAAAUAUUACUUCCAUAUUCAUAUUAUAUCAUCAUCGAAAAGAUUAUAUUUGGUCAUUUAUUUGUCUAGUAUAAGAUUUUCGUCAUUUACUGUGAGUAAAAUAGAGUGUUCAAAGCAGGCUUAAGCUGUUGAAUAUAUUAGCCAUGGAAUAAUAAGAUAAGACCUUGGUCUAAAUAUUUUUGUUGGUUUAUUUUAUCAAGGUAAUGAUUAAUAGGGAUAGUUGGGG
rnacentral:rRNA from 1 species